rnacentral:rRNA from 1 species
CACGUAGGGGGCAAGCGUUGUCCGGAAUCAUUGGGCGUAAAGAGCUCGUAGGCGGCUCAAUAAGUCGGGUGUGAAACCCCCAGGCUCAACCUGGGGACGCCACCCGAUACUGUUGUGGCUAGAGUCCAGUAGGGGAGUGUGGAAUUCCCGGUGUAGCGGUGAAAUGCGCAGAUAUCGGGAGGAACACCAGCGGCGAAGGCGGCACUCUGGGCUGGUACUGACGCUGAGGAGCGAAAGCGUGGGUAGCAAACGGG